CACGAACGCUGGCGGCGUGCCUAAUACAUGCAAGUCGAGCGCAGGAAACUGACGGAACUCUUCGGAGGGAAGGCAGUGGAAUGGGCGGCGGACGGGUGAGUAACACGUAAGGAACCUGCCUCAAGGAUUGGGAUAACUCCGAGAAAUCGGAGCUAAUACCGGAUAGUUCAACGGACCGCAUGGUCCGUUGAUGAAAGGCGCUCCGGCGUCACCUUGAGAUGGCCUUGCGGUGCAUUAGCUAGUUGGUGGGGUAACGGCCCACCAAGGGGACGAUGCAUAGCCGACCUGAGAGGGUGAUCGGCCACACUGGGACUGAGACACGGCCCAGACUCCGACGGGAGGCAGCAGUAGGGAAUCUUCCACAAUGGACGAAAGUCUGAUGGAGCAACGCCGCGUGAGUGAUGAAGGUUUUCGGAUCGUAAAACUCUGUUGUAAGGGAAGAACACGUACGAGAGGGAAUGCUCGUACCUUGACGGUACCUUACGGGAAAGCCACGGCUAACUACGUGCCAGCCGCCGCCGUAACAC
rnacentral:rRNA from 1 species